rnacentral:rRNA from 1 species
GAUGAACGCUGGCGGUAUGCUUUACACAUGCAAGUCGUACGAGAGUUUUUAACUCUAGUGGCGGACGGGUGAGCAACACGUAAGAAUUUGCCUUUAGGAGGGGGAUAACAACUGGAAACGGUUGCUAAUACCCCAUAUGCUUUCGAGUGAAACGGAUUUCCGCCUAAAGAGAAGCUUGCGGCUGAUUAGCUUGUUGGUGAGGUAAUGGCUUACCAAGGCGACGAUCAGUAUCUGGUUUGAGAGGACGAUCAGACACACUGGAACUGAGACACGGUCCAGACUCCUACGGGAGGCAGCAGUGGGGAAUUUUCCGCAAUGGGCGAAAGCCUGACGGAGCAAUACCGCGUGAGGGAUGACGGCCUAUGGGUUGUAAACCUCUUUUUUCAGGGAGGAAGUAAGUGACGUGUACCUGAAGAAUAAGCAUCGGCUAACUCCGUGCCAGCAGCCGCGGUAAUACGGAGGAUGCAAGUGUUAUCCGGAAUCACUGGGCGUAAAGCGUCUGUAGGUGGUUAAAUAAGUCAACUGUUAAAUCUUGAAGCUCAACUUCGAAACUGCAGUCGAAACUGUUUAACUCGAGUAUAGUAGAGGUAAAGGGAAUUUCCAGUGGAGCGGUGAAAUGCGUAGAGAUUGGAAAGAACACCAAUGGCGAAGGCACUUUACUGGGCUAUUACUAACACUGAGAGACGAAAGCUAGGGUAGCAAAUGGGAUUAGAUACCCCAGUAGUCCUAGCCGUAAACAAUGGAUACUAGAUGUUGAACAGAUCGACCUGUGCAGUAUCAAAGCUAACGCGUUAAGUAUC